AGGACGAACGCUAGCGGCGUGCCUAAUGUAUGCAAGUCGAGCGGGGGAGUGGACUUCGGUCUACUCUCUAGCGGCAAACGGUUGAGUAACACGUAGGCAACCUGCCCCAGAGACGGGGAUAGCCCGCCGAAAGGCGGAGUAAUACCGGAUGUGGCGAGAGGGGGCAUCUCCUCUCUGCUAAAGGGAGCAAUCCGCUCUGGGAGGGGCCUGCGGCCUAUCAGCUAGUUGGUGAGGUAACGGCUCACCAAGGCGACGACGGGUAGCUGGUCUGAGAGGAUGGUCAGCCAGACAGGGACUGCGACACGGCCCUGACUCCUUCGGGGGGCAGCAAUGAGGGAUAUUGCACAAUGGGGGAAACCCUGAUGCAGCGACGCCGCGUGGGCGAUGAAGUCUUUCGGGAUGUAAAGCCCUUUUCUCGGGGAAGAGAACGGACGGUACCCGAGGAAUAAGCCCCGGCUAACUACGUGCCAGCAGCCGCGGUAAUACGUAGGGGGCAAGCGUUGUCCGGAUUUACUGGGCGUAAAGCGCGUGUAGGCGGGACGACAAGUCGGACGUGAAAGGCUUCGGCUCAACCGGAGACGGCCGUUCGAAACUGUCGUUCUUGAGGACCGAAGAGGAGAGUGGAAUUCCCGGUGUAGCGGUGAAAUGCGUAGAGAUCGGGAGGAACACCCGUGGCGAAGGCGGCUCUCUGGUCGGUUACUGACGCUGAGACGCGAAAGCGUGGGGAGCGAACGGGAUUAGAUACCCCGGUAGUCCACGCCGUAAACGAUGGUCACUAGGUGUAUGCGGUAUCGACCCCGCAUGGGCCGCAGCUAACGCAAUAAGUGACCCGCCUGGGGAGUACGGCCGCAAGGUUGAA
rnacentral:rRNA from 1 species